GGGAAACGUGUUCCUACGACGAAUCUCCGAUAAAAGCACCAGGAGAGUCCCGUAGAAACCCAUAAAAACGGAAAAGUCGAGUCAAGGACUACAACAAAGAAAAAAAAAAAAAAAAAAUCUCCAUUUCUCUGUUAAAUCUCCGCCCAAAAAGGAAACGAUCCAAAGAUGAACGAGGAGCAAGAGACGGAGUGGGUCGAGGCGCAGAAGAUCGUCGUCGGCGAAGAUCUCGUCGCGGCGGCGCAGCAGCAGUUGGCGUUCUUGGCCGCCGUCGAUCGCCGCCGGUGGCUCUACGACGGCCACAUGCUGGAGCGGGCCAUCCACAGGUAUAAGGCUUGUUGGCUUCCACUGCUUGCUAAACAUACUGAAUCUGGGUUUCCGGAAGGCCCUUUGGUCGUUCCUCUCGAUUGCGAAUGGAUAUGGCAUUGCCAUCGGCUUAAUCCGGUUCAAUACAAAAAGGAUUGCGAAGAAGUCUUUGGCAGGAUCCUAGACAAUAAGAAUGUUUUAUCUUCAUUGCAAGCGAAAUCGAAAGAAGAGGCUGCGGAAAUGUGGGCUAAAUUAUAUCCAGAGGAACCCUUUGAGCUCGAGUAUGCCAGUCUUUCAUCCGACAAGAGUUUCGAUAUGUAUUCUGGAGCUGCAGGGAGUAUCAAAUAUGAUUUGGUGUCUGCCGUUAAAAGGCAGUCUUCUUUCUACUACCAGGUUUCAAAACCAACCAUGCGUGACCCUCGCUUUCUUAAAGCAGCAGUAGCCAGAUAUAAAGGGUUCUUAUAUUUAAUCAAGAGAAACCAGGACAGUUCAAUGAAACGCUUCUGUGUGCCGACUUAUGAUGUUGAUGUCAUGUGGCACUCGCACCAAUUGCACCCUCUUUCUUACUGCAAUGAUAUGAAACAACUUCUUGGGAGGAUUUUGGAGCAUGACGAUACGGACUCCGAUAGAUCCAAGGGACAGAAACUUGAUGUUAGUUUCUCUGAAACAACUAAGCAGUAUGAGGACACUUUUGGUUUGAGAUACUGGCGAGCAGGGGCGAUGUACAGAGGCAGCUUGCCUUCUCCCUUAACGGAGAUUCCGUACUUUCCAAUUAAUAAUAUAAAAAAUGAAACAAAUACUAAGAAAUCCCAGAUGGAGCUUCCCCUUCCUCGUUCACUGUUUGUAGAGGUCCUUUUAGAGAUUGUAGGAGUGAAAAAUUUGCCAGACGGUCAGAAGGGAAACUUGUUUGUAUCUUUUAGCAAGAAACAACCAGAUUUGUUUUUCAGUGGUGGCGGCACUUUAGGUAUAUUAUCUGAAACAGGAAACAGACAUGUUGCAGGGUUCGAAUGUGAACCUACUGGCGAGCUGGUUUUGGCUCUGAUGUCCAACAAUGGAACCUCCCACAAAGCCACCUCAAGGCCAGCAAAAACUAUUGGAACAACAUCAAUUUCACUUCAAGAAUUAUUAAACGCGGAUUCGAAUCUCUCCAUGGAGAAGUGGUUUGAAUUGAAUACAAACACUCGAAAUUUAGAUUCUGCUCCAAUUUGUCUUCGUGUUGCUGUCUCUUCUACUGUUCCAGUCCCGGCACCUCUUGUGCUCAACAUGUCUAGAUCAAAUCCCCUCUCUCUAAGAACAUGUUUCUUUCCACUUGGUGGAGGGGGACACCAGGUCAGUUCUUGGACUCGUUUUGAGGAUGAUAAUGGUAAGGAGGUCAUCAGUCUUCAUAUUAGAAAUGCAAGGAAAGAUGUGCAUAGGAACAACUCUGUUUUAAAGGAGAUACUUGGCAUAACCAGAUUAUCAAGAAAACCACGCAUCCUAGCCGAGCAUGCAGAAAAUGAAUGGAUCCUGAAGGACACUAACUUCUCCAUCAAUACCAAUAUUAAGCCAAGUCAUGAUGGAUCUUUGUUAGGACUCAAAGGCGACCACCAGAUCAAAUUGUAUUGGGGAAAAAAGCUGGAAUAUGAACGCAAAUGCUGCAAGGAGCACAGAGAGGGUGCCUGCAUGACCGUCGUUGAGUUCUCCACCGAGAACCCAUAUGGAAAAGCUUUGGCAUUAUUUGACCUGAAAUCCAGAUAUAUCAAGGUUGAUGAGGAGUGGUUUGUUUUACCUGGAAUUGUGUUGGCAUAUAUAAUCACAACCUUGUUCCAGAAAGAACAAGAAAGAUUUUUCACUCCCACUGAUGAGGAUGUCAAAGAGGUUAUCAGUCCAAAUGAUGAAGCUGGCGAAAACAUUUCAAAAGUGACCAUCACAGAUUCCUCUGUGCCAGUCGAAAUUGUUACAGUUGGCGUAGCCAGUACAGCAAUCACCAAAAAAAGUAGCCAUGGCCAUGAAAAUGUUUCAAGUAAUGCUAACUCUGGCGGCUGCGGGGGCGGCUGUGGCAGUGGAUGUGGCGGUGGUUUGAUGAAGACUGAAGAAUCCGGUGGGUGCGGUGGCGGGUGUGGUGGUGGGUGUGGCGGCGGGUGCGGUUCAAUGAAGACUGAUGGAUCUGGCGGUUGCGGCGGUGGUUGUGGCGGGGGGUGCGGUUCAAUGAAGACUGACAGAUCUGGUGGUUGCGGCGGUGGUUGCGGUGGGGGGUGUGGAAGCAAUAUGAAGAGCUCUCACUCUGGUGGCUGUGGUGGCGGGUGCGGCGGUGGCUGUGGCGGCUGUGGCGUGAUGGUUACUCCCAGUGGUGCAAAUGUAGUUACUCAUCAAGAUUUAGUCAGUGCUUGAAUGAAUUGCUAGCUGUGAGCUGCUUUGUGGUGUUGUAUAGUAAUAAAGGAGCUUUUGCUCUUCUUGGGCUUUAGCUCUUUGUAGUAUAUAUUCCCAAUCGGUGCAUGAUAAGACACUUUCUACAAAGCGUGUAAUAACGUGUAAGAAGAUGUUUCAAUGUUUUACCUGCAUUAUCAUCUCAGCUUUGAAGAA